rnacentral:rRNA from 1 species
AUACGGAGGGUGCAAGCGUUGUUCGGAAUCACUGGGCGUAAAGGGCGCGCAGGCGGUUUGGUAAGUCAGAUGUGAAAGCCCAUGGCUCAACCAUGGAAGUGCAUUUGAAACUGUCAGACUUGAGUACUAGAGGGGAAAGUGGAAUUCCCGGUGUAGAGGUGAAAUUCGUAGAUAUCGGGAGGAAUACCGGUGGCGAAGGCGACUUUCUGGCUAGAUACUGACGCUGAGGCGCGAGAGCGUGGGGAGCAAACAGGAUUAGAAACCCUAGUAGUCC